rnacentral:tRNA from 1 species
GGCGAAAUCGUUCCUGACCUGGAACGCAGCAGCUUACGGGGUUGUGAGCUGAGAUCUUGUAAACUGUAGGUCAGGGGUUCGAUUCCCCUCGUCG